rnacentral:rRNA from 1 species
CCGGCGAAAGUCGGAUUAAUACCCUAUGUUAUUCGUAGAGGACAUCUGAAAUGAAUCAAAGGUUUACCGCUAAGGGAUGGGGAUGCGUCUGAUUAGGUUGCAGCGGGGUAACGGCCCGACCUGGCCGACGAUCAGUAGGGGUUCUGAGAGGAAGGUCCCCCACACUGGUACUGAGACACGGACCAGACUCCUACGGGAGGCAGCAGUGAGGAAUAUUGGUCAAUGGGCGUAAGCCUGAACCAGCCAAGUAGCGUGCAGGAUGACGGCCCUAUGGGUUGUAAACUGCUUUUUAUAUAGGGAUAAAGUUCACCACGUGUGGUGUUUUGUAGGUACUAUAUGAAUAAGGACCGGCUAAUUCCGUGCC